AUGUUGGUGUCGGUGUUGGAUACUUAUACUAAUCCUUGUAAUUACGUUCCAUUUAUUCGUUUGUUCUACUCAGACUCUGAUGAUAACGUGUCAGUAUCAGAGUCGUGUUGUGUACCUCUGAAAAAGGCAUCUCUCUGUCAGAAUUGGACAUCGACACCAAUCCUUGUAAUUACAAUCAAUUUAUUUGAUAUUUCAAAUCAUACCGGUGUAUGUCAGUGUUGGUGUCGAUUUGUGUACCAGUGUUUGUGUCAUUCUCAGUAG